rnacentral:rRNA from 1 species
CCUACGGGAGGCUGCAGUGAGGAAUAUUGGUCAAUGGCCGGAAGGCUGAACCAGCCAAGCCGCGUGAAGGACGAAGGUGCCAAGCAUUGUAAACUUCUUUUGCCAAGGGACAACAUCAUGCUCGAGAGCCUGACCGCGGGUACUUGAAGAAAAAGCAUCGGCUAACUCCGUGCCAGCAGCCGCGGUAAUACGGAGGAUGCGAGCGUUAUCCGGAUUUAUUGGGCUUAAAGGGUGCGUAGGCGGGCGGUUAAGUCAGCGGUAAAAGCGCGGGGCUCAACCCCGGCGCGCAGUUGAAACUGGAUGUCUUGAGAUGACGAGAGGCAGGCGGAAUGCGGGGUGUAGCGGUGAAAUGCAUAGAUAUUGCGCAGAACCCCGAUUGCGAAGGCAGCCUGCCGGGGGGGGUCUGACGCUGAGGCACGAAAGUGUGGGUAUCGAACAGGAUUAGAUACCCGAGUAGUC